GAGGCUUUAGCUGGCGCGAGCUAACGCGAUAAGUAGACCGCCUGGGGAGUACGGUCGCAAGACUAAAACUCAAAUGAAUUGACGGGGGCCCGCACAAGCGGUGGAGCAUGUGGUUUAAUUCGAUGCAACGCGAAGAACCUUACCUGGCCUUGACAUAGUAAGAACUUUCCAGAGAUGGAUUGGUGCCUUCGGGAACUUACAUACAGGUGCUGCAUGGCUGUCGUCAGCUCGUGUCGUGAGAUGUUGGGUUAAGUCCCGCAACGAGCGCAACCCUUUUCCUUAUUUGCCAGCGA
rnacentral:rRNA from 1 species